ensembl:lncRNA
GUGAGACAGACGUUUGCAUACACUGUAAUUAUGAGAGGACCCUGUAGCAAUCGGGCCCUGUGGGCUCAUCACGCAUCUCACACACACACACACACACACACACACUCCUUUCUCUCUCUCUAAUGAAGGGGCCCUCAGCACUUGCAUCCGCUCUGAAGAGGCAGGAGGGAGAGGAUCUGGCCGAGCUGGAGAGGAUAGAAGGGAAAUGAAGUGGAGGAAAAUAAGUGUGGCUUGUAGGCCCUUUCUCCUUCAUUCUUACCCAAUGACUCAUAACACUUUUAUUCCCCCCCCCCCACCCCCCCCGCCCUCCUCUGCUCGUUUACUUUGAGUGGCAGUGUGUGGGAGGUGAACGCCAGCCGAUGUGUGAAGUGUUUCAUGCGAUUGUCACAUCGACGCACACACGCAGACAAGCAAUAACAAAACAACGGGAAAAAAUGGACCCUCUUCCUGCUGUCUGUCCUUUGCCUCCUCAUCUCCUCCACUUUCUCUCCUCCUUGCCCCCACACACAACCCUCCCACUGCUUGUUCAGUCCUCUGCUCUGCGUGGAUCCUUCAUCCUCCACAGUUUUUCAACUUCACCUCCUACUUCCCUUUUACCUCACGUCCUCCCCUCCUCACUGCUAUGAUGCUUUGUUAACACCUUCACCACAACACCUCUGAUGAGCAGUCCACAAGUGUGCGUGUGUGUGUUUUGUUUAUGGGUGAUUCAUCUGUUGAUUGAAGAUUCGAGGAACAGUUUGACAUUUUGGGAAAUAUGCCAUUUCUGUUUGUUUUUUGCGUGCCAAGAGUUAGAUAAGAAGAUUAAUGCUGCUCGCCUGUCUGGAAAUAAUACAGGCCUUCCAACUCACUAAUUUAACAAGACACGUCGGGACAAACACCUGGAGGAAGUGAGGUGUGAACGACCCGCUCGAGUCUGCUGUGCCGCUCAGCGCGUUGACAUCAGCCGGUUUCAUCUCCACCAAGAGGAAGAUUCAGCCGUUAGAGAGAUUGUACAUACGUGUAGUUGUGUAGGUGAGGAGACGUCGCCCAGAAUCAUAUAUGAAUCAAAA